CGAACGGGUGAGUAAUGCGUGACCAACCUGCCCCAUGCUCCAGAAUAGCUCUUGGAAACGGGUGGUAAUGCUGGAUGCUCCAACUUGACGCAUGUCUUGUUGGGAAAGUGUUUAGUGGCAUGGGAUGGGGUCGCGUCCUAUCAGCUUGUAGGCGGGGUAAUGGCCCACCUAGGCUUCGACGGGUAGCCGGCCUGAGAGGGCGGACGGCCACAUUGGGACUGAGAUACGGACCAGACUCCUACGGGAGGCAGCAGCG
rnacentral:rRNA from 1 species